rnacentral:lncRNA from 1 species
GUCAUUUUCACAACAUUGAUUCUACCCAUCAAUGAGCAUGGGAUGUGUUUUCAUUUGUUUGUGUUGUCUAUAUUUCUUUCAGCAGUGUUUUGUAGUUUUCCUUGUAGAGGUCUUUCACCUCACAGAGGAGACUUUCGACCUGAAGGAGGUAAGGGAGCAAUCCAAGAGGAUAGCUGGGGGAAGAGCACCCCAGGCAGGGGCAGUGAUACAAGGAUGGAAGUGGAGAGAGGCCAGAGUGAAUCAGGAGAGAGCAGGAGAUAAGGUCAGAGAUGUAUCAGGGACCAGAACAUGUGGAGCUGUGCUGGUCAUGGUAAGGACUUUGGUUUUCUGUGAGGGAUAAAAGGAGCCACAGGAAGCAAAGGGGCUGAUUUCGUCUGACUUGUUUUGACAGGAUCAUGCUGGCUGCUGCGUGGAGAAAAGACUGAGGGGAAGUAAAAGAACAAAGAACAAAAGAGAACAUGAUGGCUUGGAUCAAGGUGGUGCCGGUGGUGAUAGUGAGAAAUGGAGAAAUUCUGGAAUCACCAUUAGCUCCCUUCUGAUGAAGCAGGAGUUGACUCAGCUGGGCUUUCAGCUGGACACGGAAAGCGGAGGUAGAUGAAUUGUCAUGAUCAAGUGGGUGUCAUCAAGUACUUAGAAAGGUUUCAUUUUGU